AGGAUGAACGCUGGCGGCGUGCUUAACACAUGCAAGUCGAACGGUCGCAAGACAGUGGCGCACGGGUGAGGAACACGUAGCUUAUCUGCCCCGAAGUGUGGGAUAACGCUCCGAAAGGAGUGCUAAUACCGCAUAAGCUCCCAGGCUCUAGAGGCGCGGGAGAAAAGGCGCAAGUCGCUUUGGGAGGAGGCUGCGGCCCAUCAGGUAGUUGGUGCGGUAACGGCGCACCAAGCCAACGACGGGUAGGGGACCUGAGAGGGUGAUCCCCCACACUGGGACUGAGACACGGCCCAGACUCCUACGGGAGGCAGCAGUGAGGAAUAUUGCCCAAUGGACGAAAGUCUGAGGCAGCAACUCCGCGUGAGGGACGAAGGCCUUCGGGUCGUAAACCUCUUUUCUCAGGGAAGAUACAAGACGGUACCUGAGGAAUAAGCCACGGCUAACUACGUGCCAGCAGCCGC
rnacentral:rRNA from 1 species